rnacentral:rRNA from 1 species
UACGUAGGGUGCAAGCGUUAAUCGGAAUUACUGGGCGUAAAGCGCGCGCAGGCGGUUAUGUAAGACAGAUGUGAAAUCCCAGGGCUUAACCUUGGAACUGCAUUUGUGACUGCAUGGCUAGAGUGUGUCAGAGGGGGGUGGAACUCCACGUGUAGCAGUGAAAUGCGUAGAGAUGUGGAAGAACACCGAUGGCGAAGGCAGCCCCCUGGGAUAACACUGACGCUCAGGCUCGAAAGCGUGGGGAGCAAACAGG